rnacentral:rRNA from 1 species
GUGGGGAAUCUUCCGCAAUGGACGAAAGUCUGACGGAGCAACGCCGCGUGAGUGAAGAAGGUUUUCGGAUCGUAAAGCUCUUUCGUUAGGGACGAACGUGCUCUUUGUGAAUAAUGAGGAGUAAUGACGGUACCUAAAUAAGAAGCCACGGCUAACUACGUGCCAGCAGCCGCGGUAAUACGUAGGUGGCAAGCGUUGUCCGGAAUUAUUGGGCGUAAAGCGCGCGCAGGCGGGAUAUCAAGUCUGUCUUAAAAGUGCGAGGCUCAACCUCGUGAGGGGACAGAAACUGGUAUUCUUGAGUGUCGGAGAGGAAAGUGGAAUUCCAAGUGUAGCGGUGAAAUGCGUAGAGAUUUGGAAGAACACCAGUGGCGAAGGCGACUUUCUGGACGAUGUCUGACGCUGAGGCGCGAAAGCUAGGGGAGCGAACGGGAUUAGAAACCCCGGUAGUCC